rnacentral:rRNA from 1 species
ACGGGAGGCAGCAGUGGGGAAUAUUGGACAAUGGGGGAAACCCUGAUCCAGCGACGCCGCGUGAGUGAAGAAGUAUUUCGGUAUGUAAAGCUCUAUCAGCAAGGAAGAAAAUGACGGUACUUGACUAAGAAGCCCCGGCUAACUACGUGCCAGCAGCCGCGGUAAUACGUAGGGGGCAAGCGUUAUCCGGAUUUACUGGGUGUAAAGGGAGCGUAGACGGCAAUGUAAGUCUGAAGUGAAAGCCCCGGGCUCAACCCGGGAACUGCUUUGGAAACUGUAUAGCUAGAGUGCAGGAGAGGUAAGUGGAAUUCCUAGUGUAGCGGUGAAAUGCGUAGAUAUUAGGAGGAACACCAGUGGCGAAGGCGGCUUACUGGACAGAUAAUGACGCUGAGGCUCGAAAGCGUGGGGAGCAAACAGGAUUAGAUACCCUGGUA